GCCCAGCUAGCUCCACUGGUAGAGCAUGAGACCCUUAAUCUCAGGGUUGUGGUUUCAAGCCCCCACGUUGGGUG
rnacentral:tRNA from 1 species